rnacentral:rRNA from 1 species
CCGAUUUAAUGGCUCAGCGAGGCCUUCGGACUGGCCCAGGGAGGUCGGCAACGACCACCCAGGGCCGGAAAGUUGGUCAAACUCGGUCAUUUAGAGGAAGUAAAAGUCGUAACAAGGUCUCCGUAGGUGAACCUGCGGAGGGAUCAUUA